rnacentral:rRNA from 1 species
AUGAACGCUGGCGGUAUGCUUAACACAUGCAAGUCGAACGGACUCUUCGGAGUUAGUGGCGGACGGGUGAGUAACGCGUGAGAAUCUGGCUUUGGGUUCGGGACAACCACUGGAAACGGUGGCUAAUACCGGAUGUGCCGAGAGGUAAAAGAGAAAUUGCCUGCAGAUGAGCUCGCGUCUGAUUAGCUAGUUGGUGAGGUAAAGGCUCACCAAGGCAGCGAUCAGUAGCUGGUCUGAGAGGAUGACCAGCCACACUGGGACUGAGACACGGCCCAGACUCCUACGGGAGGCAGCAGUGGGGAAUUGUCCGCAAUGGGCGAAAGCCUGACGGAGCAAUACCGAGUGAGGGAAGAAGGCACUUGGGUUGUAAACCUCUUUUCUUAGGGAAGAACAAAAUGACGGUACCUAAGGAAUCAGCAUCGGCUAACUCCGUG